GUUUUAUUUCUUAGUUAUACACAUAAGUAAUGAAUAAAAAUUUAGAAAGGUUGAUGAGCUGAUGUGGAUGAAGAAAAAGUAUAUGUGGGGUAUGGGUCGAACUUACUUCAACCUGCAUGUGAACCAAACACAAUUUGGUCCAUUGACACUCUUAGUUUGAAUCUUGCUUUUGUCCAAUUUUGGUCGAUCUUCCAUCCAUUUUACUUAAUAAACAAAAGAAAAAAAUAAAAAAGGUAAUAUGACAGC
rnacentral:lncRNA from 1 species